rnacentral:rRNA from 1 species
GGUGAACGUGGGUGAGUGGGCGAGUGAAUAGGAAGGGUGGAAGCGUUACUCGGGAGUUCUGGGCGUAACGGGUGCGUAGGUGGUCGGUUAAGUCCGGUGUGAAAUCCCUGGGCUCAACCUGGGAAUGGCAGUGGAUACUGGAAGGCUAGAGGGCGGUAGAGGGUAGUGGAAUUCCCGGUGUAGCAGUGAAAUGCGUAGAGAUCGGGAGGAACACCAGUGGCGAAGGCGGCUACCUGGACCAGCACUGACACUGAGGCACGAAAGCGUGGGGAGCAAACAGGAUUAGAUACCCGAGUAGUC